rnacentral:lncRNA from 1 species
GCUCAGCAAAGCUUAGCUGUUAAAUCAGCUGAUUGGGUGAAGCUUUCGUUGAUGACAGCUGUCAACAUAAGCUUUUAGAACACGGUUUUAGCACUUCCGAUCGCAUUUAAACGGGACGAGCCCCCAGAAAAAUUCUUCUUUUCGUCUAUCUAAAAUUCUGAUCGGUUCGUGACCCGUCCGAUAGUGAGUUAAUUUUUUUCGACCAACCACGUGUGUGUGAAAAAGUAAAAAUAAACGAACGCCGUGCAGUGAAUAUAAAUAUCAGUGAAUUUAAAUUUCACCUGGCCUAGAGCCAUCCCAACGUUUUUGGGCGAGCGUGCAAUCCACGCAAUCCCAAACUUUUUGGACUGGCGUUCAAUCCACGCCAUCCACGACAGAAGAGAAAUAUAAUUAUCCACGGAAAUCCCGGAAAGAUUGGUAGGUCCAAUGUGGGAGAGACCCGAACAAAGGUUCUUAUAAUAGCUCUUGGCUGUAUUCCUUCCCCCCCCACAGGGCUUCGCUACGCUUUCCCCCCACACUCAGCCAGAGCAGCAGCGCAUUGACGUUUUGUUGGCAAUACGCUGAGGGGUGGGGAAUUUUUCUUGGGAGACCGGUGGAAGCCCGGCUCCAGAACCUAUGUAACACCAUAGCCAUGAUGUAACUUCACAAUGACCAUGACGUAACCUUGCAGUAACCUCUGCGCAGGCGCCACAGCCGACAGUGUCGUACCGCUAAGAGGGCCACCAUUAUAUCUUAGGCUGCAAUCAAAGCCUAAAGCACUGUCUUUUAUUUUAAUAAUUAAUUAAAUUUAAAUUUUGUUAAUGCUAAUACUCUUUUCUAUUAUUAUAUUCUAUUUGAUUUAACGACCUUUAAUUCCCCCUUAAUUAUGUGACAGUAGUGAAAGAAGAAAGAAAGGAAAAAUAAGUUUGUAAGAGAAAAAAAAAUAUUGAACUAUAACGUGCAGUCGGCCAAAGCCAACAGGGAACCAUAAUUAAUAUAUUCCACAGCUUCUUCAAAACCCCAGCGAAAGGCCUUUCAGCGAGGGAGUACUGUAAGCAUGCAUACAUGCAUACCAAACUGUGAGUGAUAAAAGAUCAAAUUUUUUUUGUUCCCUUUUGGUGCGUUCUUCCCGCUAGACGAACCGACCAGCGCAUAAAAGUUUAUGCACUAGCGCCAGAGCUUUGUUGCUUUUGCUGCUAUUGUAAUUUGUGCACGCCAUGCAUUCCAUGCAGUUGCGUACAUGGAGAAACUAAAACGAAAAGUACACUAGCCAACAAAAAAAAAUUAUUUUUUUGUUUUCCUUCUUUUCUUUUUUUUUGAACAUAUGCUUUUCAUUAUUAUAUUUAGUCCCAUUCAUUUAUAUUCCAUAUUCAAUAAUCGUAUCUUAAUUUAAUGUUACAUUUCACCUAUUAUAUUCAUACAUACAUUUACUUUUUCUUUGAUAUAUUUUUAUAAUUUUCUUUCCUACUUUAUAUUAUUUUCCUUUUUUUUAUAUUUGGGUAAAUCGACAUAAGUUGUUUCGAAAUCUAGUGUAAAAUCGAUACUUUUGGAUGUGUUUUGCGAUGUUGAAUAAAUUUAGCUAUAAGCGUUAAUAUGAACUCCUGCUAAGUGCGCUUAACUUGAGGGGGUCAUGCGUCGUGUAGGGAACGUAGGCAGAGGUAUUGCGGCAUAGACCUUUUUUUUUUGGGAUCGCCGUAUAACUUUAUCGGAUUAUAGCGAUCAUGGAAGGGAGGGCAUUCGUGGCCGCAUUUCCAUCUUGCGCCACAAAAUAAAGGUCUGGAAGCUAGGAGUUUUGUCUCUGUUCUGUCUGUUUCUUUUCACUAUUGUUUCAUAAACCGACUUGUUCAUCGCACGCGAAUUUUAAUAACUUUAUGUAUAUAGACGAGCGGAUAGAGCAGCGGAUCCUUCCCUUAACCCCCCCCAUCUCCCGACUGAUAACGAUACCGGAACAAGCGCGUGCCCCGUAGAAGCUCAUCACCUUCCACCAGCUCAAUAACGUUGCAUACUACA